rnacentral:rRNA from 1 species
CCAGACUCCUACGGGAGGCAGCAGUGGGGAAUAUUGGGCAAUGGGCGCAAGCCUGACCCAGCAACGCCGCGUGAAGGAAGAAGGCUUUCGGGUUGUAAACUUCUUUUGUCAGGGACGAAGCAAGUGACGGUACCUGACGAAUAAGCCACGGCUAACUACGUGCCAGCAGCCGCGGUAAUACGUAGGUGGCAAGCGUUAUCCGGAUUUACUGGGUGUAAAGGGCGUGUAGGCGGGACUGCAAGUCAGAUGUGAAAACCACGGGCUCAACCUGUGGCCUGCAUUUGAAACUGUAGUUCUUGAGUACUGGAGAGGCAGACGGAAUUCCUAGUGUAGCGGUGAAAUGCGUAGAUAUUAGGAGGAACACCAGGGGCGAAGGCGGUCUGCUGGACAGCAACUGACGUUGAGGCCCGAAAGCGUGGGGAGCAAACAGGAUUAGAUACCCCCGUAC